rnacentral:rRNA from 1 species
UACAGAGGUCUCGAGCGUUGUUCGGAUUCAUUGGGCGUAAAGGGUGCGUAGGUGGCGCUGUAAGUCGGGUGUGAAAUCCUGAGGCUUAACCUCGGAACUGCAUUCGAUACUGCGGCGCUCGAGGACUGGAGAGGAGACUGGAAUUCAUGGUGUAGCAGUGAAGUGCGUAGAGAUCAUGAGGAAGACCAGUGGCGAAGGCGGGUCUCUGGACAGUUCCUGACACUGAGGCACGAAGGCCAGGGGAGCAAACGGG